GACGUAGGGUGCGAGCGUUGUCCGGAUUUAUUGGGCGUAAAGAGCUCGUAGGCGGCUCGUCGCGUCGACCGUGAAAACCCGCGGCUUAACUGCGGGCUUGCGGUUGAUACGGGCGGGCUAGAGUUCGGUAGGGGAGACUGGAAUUCCUGGUGUAGCGGUGAAAUGCGCAGAUAUCAGGAGGAACACCGGUGGCGAAGGCGGGUCUCUGGGCCGAUACUGACACUGAGGGACGAAAGCUAGGGGAGCGAAUGGG
rnacentral:rRNA from 1 species